CAGCCGCCACGGUAAUUCGUAGGUGGCAAGCGUUGUCCGGAAUUAUUGGGCGUAAAGCGCGCGCAGGCGGAUAGGUCAGUCUGUCUUAAAAGUUCGGGGCUUAACCCCGUGAUGGGAUGGAAACUGCCAAUCUAGAGUAUCGGAGAGGAAAGUGGAAUUCCUAGUGUAGCGGUGAAAUGCGUAGAUAUUAGGAAGAACACCAGUGGCGAAGGCGACUUUCUGGACGAAAACUGACGCUGAGGCGCGAAAGCCAGGGGAGCGAACGGGAUUAGAUACCCGCGUAGUCCCUGUCUCUUAUACC
rnacentral:rRNA from 1 species